rnacentral:rRNA from 1 species
UACGUAGGCAGCGAGCGUUGUUCGGAGUUACUGGGCGUAAAGAGUGCGUAGGCGGUUUUCUAAGUUUGGUGUGAAAUCUCCCGGCUUAACUGGGAGGGUGCGCCGAAAACUGGAAGGCUUGAGUAUGGGAGAGGUAAGCGGAAUUCCUGGUGUAGCGGUGAAAUGCGUAGAUAUCUGGAGGAACACCGGUGGCGAAGGCGGCAUCCUGGACCAACACUGACACUGAGGAGCGAAAGCCAGGGGAGCAAACGGG